UACAGAGGUCUCAAGCGUUGUUCGGAUUCAUUGGGCGUAAAGGGUGCGUAGGCGGCGCGGUAAGUCGGGUGUGAAAUCUCGGGGCUUAACUCCGAAACUGCAUUCGAUACUGCCGUGCUUGAGGACUGGAGAGGAGACUGGAAUUUACGGUGUAGCGGUGAAAUGCGUAGAUAUCGUAAGGAAGACCAGUGGCGAAGGCGGGUCUCUGGACAACUCCUGACGCUGAGGCGCGAAAGCGUGGGGAGCAAACGGG
rnacentral:rRNA from 1 species